CCAGACAGAGUCGGCAGCUUCUUCUCAACUCAACAGUCUUGGCUGUGCAAUAGUCAAGCUGUGCAAUCAUGGACAGCCCCUUCUCUUCUCAUAUACAAGGAAACAAGUGUUCCGACUGCACGUACUCAGCAGGCAGGAUCCUCUCAUGGUCAGGCAGCGUGGGAAUAUUUCCAGUAGUCGCUCCAGGAAGCGUGCAAGUGGUGUACGAGGCUCGAACUGUGAACUUUCCUAGUUAGGAUUUGAGUAAUUUCUUCUACUCAACUGUUCUUGUAAUCUAAAUUCAGUAGAUGCUCUGUUAUCGCCUAUGGUAGAUUCUACUUGUGAGGCCGGAGGCCAUUUAGUAUGUUUUGAUGUAUUAUGAAAGCAUGCUGCUAGUUGGGAUUAUUAUUUUAUGUAUGUUGCAGGUUGAAAUUUU